rnacentral:rRNA from 1 species
UACGAAGGGGGCUAGCGUUGCUCGAAAUCACUGGGCGUAAAGCGCACGUAGGCGGAUCUUUAAGUCAGAGGUGAAAUCCCAAGGCUCAACCUUGGAACUGCCUUUGAUACUGGGGAUCUCGAGUCCGGAAGAGGUGAGUGGAACUGCGAGUGUAGAGGUGAAAUUCGUAGAUAUUCGCAAGAACACCAGUGGCGAAGGCGGCUCACUGGUCCGGUACUGACGCUGAGGUGCGAAAGCGUGGGGAGCAACAGG